GAUUAGAGUUUGAUCAUGGCUCAGGAUGAACGCUAGCGGCAGGUUUAAUACUCAUGCAAGUCGAACGGCAGCACAGUGUGCGAGCAAUACAUGGGUGGCGAGUGGCGCACGGGUGCGUAACACGUAUGCAAUUUGCCCAUAACUGGGGGAUAGCCCUCCGAAAGAGAGGAUUAAUACCCYAUAACCCAGCGAAGUGGCAUCACUUUUCUGGUAAAUCUCCGGAGGUUAUGGAUGAGCAUGCGUCCGAUAUAGCUAGUUGGUGAGGUAACGGUCUCACCAAGGCAACGAUCGGUAGGGGGUCUGAGAGGAUGAAUCCCCCACACGCGGUACUGAGACACGGACCCGACUCCCUACGGGAGUUUGGCAGUAAAGGAAUUAUUUGACCAAUGGAGGCAACUUUGAUCCCAGCCCAUGCCGCCGUGAAGGGAUGAAGGCCGCUACGCGUUGUAAACUUCUUUYUCUUCUAGGAAAAAACUAUUUGUUUCGUACCCGAUACUGAUUGUACAAGAGGAAUAAGCAUCGGCUAACUUCGUGCCAGCAGCCGCGGUAAUACGAAGGAUGCAAGCGUUAUCCGGAUUCACUGGGUUUAAAGGGUGUGCAGGUGGGGUAAUAAGUCAGUGGUGAAAGCCCCCGACUCAAUCGGGGAACUGCCAUAGAUACUGUUAUUCUUGAGUGUGGUUGAGGCGGAUGGAAUAUGACAUGUAGCGGUGAAAUGCUUAGAUAUGUCAUAGAACACCAAUCGCGAAGGCAGUCGCGCCAAACCAUUACUGACACUGAAACACGAAAGUCGCGGGGAUUCAAACAGCGAUUAGAUACCCUGGUAGUCCGCACCGUAAACGAUGAUCACUCGUUGUUGGCGAUACACAGUCAGCGACUAAGCGAAAGCAUUAAGUGAUCCACAUGCAUAACACGACCGCAAGGUUGAAACUCAAAGGAAUUGACGGGGGCCCGCACAAGCGGAGGAGCAUGUGGUUUAAUUCGAUGGUACGCGAGGAACCUUACCUGGGCUUGAAAGACAGUUGACCGUCUCUGAAAGGAGACUUUUCGCAAGAACAACUGUCUAG
rnacentral:rRNA from 1 species